rnacentral:rRNA from 1 species
GAUGAACGCUAGCUACAGGCUUGACACAUGCAAGUCGAGGGGCAGCAUGAACUUAGCUUGCUAAGUUUGAUGGCGACCGGCGCACGGGUGAGUAACACGUAUCCAACCUGCCGAUGACUCGGGGAUAGCCUUUCGAAAGAAAGAUUAAUACCCGAUGGCAUAGUUCUUCCGCAUGGUAGAACUAUUAAAGAAUUUCGGUCAUCGAUGGGGAUGCGUUCCAUUAGGUUGUUGGCGGGGUAACGGCCCACCAAGCCUUCGAUGGAUAGGGGUUCUGAGAGGAAGGUCCCCCACAUUGGAACUGAGACACGGUCCAAACUCCUACGGGAGGCAGCAGUGAGGAAUAUUGGUCAAUGGACGAGAGUCUGAACCAGCCAAGUAGCGUGAAGGAUGACUGCCCUAUGGGUUGUAAACUUCUUUUAUAAAGGAAUAAAGUCGGGUAUGCAUACCCGUUUGCAUGUACUUUAUGAAUAAGGAUCGGCUAACUCCGUGCCAGCAGCCGCGGUAAUACGGAGGAUCCGAGCGUUAUCCGGAUUUAUUGGGUUUAAAGGGAGCGUAGAUGGAUGUUUAAGUCAGUUGUGAAAGUUUGCGGCUCAACCGUAAAAUUGCAGUUGAUACUGGAUAUCUUGAGUGCAGUUGAGGCAGGCGGAAUUCGUGGUGUAGCGGUGAAAUGCUUAGAUAUCACGAAGAACUCCGAUUGCGAAGGCAGCCUGCUAAGCUGCAACUGACAUUGAGGCUCGAAAGUGUGGGUAUCAAACAGGAUUAGAUACCCUGGUAGUCCACACGGUAAACGAUGAAUACUCGCUGUUUGCGAUAUACGGCAAGCGGCCAAGCGAAAGCGUUAAGUAUUCCACCUGGGGAGUACGCCGGCAACGGUGAAACUCAAAGGAAUUGACGGGGGCCCGCACAAGCGGAGGAACAUGUGGUUUAAUUCGAUGAUACGCGAGGAACCUUACCCGGGCUUAAAUUGCAGAUGAAUUACGGUGAAAGCCGUAAGCCGCAAGGCAUCUGUGAAGGUGCUGCAUGGUUGUCGUCAGCUCGUGCCGUGAGGUGUCGGCUUAAGUGCCAUAACGAGCGCAACCCUUGUUGUCAGUUACUAACAGGUCAUGCUGAGGACUCUGACAAGACUGCCAUCGUAAGAUGUGAGGAAGGUGGGGAUGACGUCAAAUCAGCACGGCCCUUACGUCCGGGGCUACACACGUGUUACAAUGGGGGGGUACAGAGGGCCGCUACCACGCGAGUGGAUGCCAAUCCCCAAAACCUCUCUCAGUUCGGACUGGAGUCUGCAACCCGACUCCACGAAGCUGGAUUCGCUAGUAAUCGCGCAUCAGCCACGGCGCGGUGAAUACGUUCCCGGGCCUUGUACACACCGCCCGUCAAGCCAUGGGAGCCGGGGGUACCUGAAGUGCGUAACCGCGAGGAGCGCCCUAGGGUAAAACUGGUGACUGGGGCUA